rnacentral:rRNA from 1 species
UACGAAGGGACCUAGCGUAGUUCGGAAUUACUGGGCUUAAAGAGUUCGUAGGUGGUUGAAAAAGUUGGUGGUGAAAUCCCAGAGCUUAACUCUGGAACUGCCAUCAAAACUUUUCAGCUAGAGUUUGAUAGAGGAAAGCAGAAUUUCUAGUGUAGAGGUGAAAUUCGUAGAUAUUAGAAAGAAUACCGAUUGCGAAGGCAGCUUUCUGGAUCAUUACUGACACUGAGGAACGAAAGCAUGGGUAGCGAAGAGG